rnacentral:tRNA from 1 species
GCCCAGAUAGCUUAGUUGGUAGAGCAGAGGACUGAAAAUCCUCGUGUCGCUGGUUCGAUUCCGGCUCUGGGCA